AUCCAGAUGACGAGUCCCAGACAGGACGAAAUGCGCGUACUGACUGGAU
rfam:Trichobilharzia regenti genome assembly, scaffold: TRE_scaffold0011307